rnacentral:pre_miRNA from 1 species
GAACUUUUCGAUUUGGGUCAAUUCAGUCCAAAAUGUUAGAUUAUAAAUCUGUUAAAUGUAAAUAAUCGAAAACAUUUUGGACUGAAUUGACCCAAAUCGAAAAGUU